AUGCUGAGGCCUCUACUCACUAUUACGAAAUAAUCUUUCGCCUUUUACUAAAGAUUACCGUGGGGAGGGGCACUCUAAUGAGCCUAUGGGCCAAUUUUUGGAAGGCCUUUACCGUUUGGUAGAGG
rnacentral:snRNA from 1 species